UGCGUCUGCGUUAGUGUGUGCCUGAGUCAGCGUUUCCGUUAGGAAAAUGGCGCCUGACGUGACAGGCAGCAUUUUAAUUUACUGGACAUUUGAGAAAAUGACUGGACCAAUUGUAUUGGGUGUGUAACCUGAUUCGGGCGUCCACCACUGUGCUCAGAAUGACAGAAAUCCCAUUUAGAUGAUGGUAAUUCAUCUUAACAAAACAUGCAAGUUGAGGAGGCAGCGACGUGCAUCCUUCUUACUGAAUUCCAAUGUACACAUUGAAGAUGUUGGAAUAACUGUCCACAUUUACUUUUCUUCAGACAACAAGACGAGUAACAAACAGCAACAUCACUAUCUUAUGUCAAUCUACUAUCCCCCAUAGUAGGACAAAUUCACCUAUUCUAUUGGUCAGCUUGUCGAGGAAGGAAUAGGGACAGUUGUGGGAUGAGAUCUCACAUUCAUACAACCAGUCUAAGCCUAAGCUAUAGAAAAAACAUAGAACAAGCAAUGAGUCUGAUGCAACAGAUCAGAACGUUUAACUUAACUAUUAUUUAUUCACAUUAUAAGUGCAGCAAUGCGCACAAGACUGCAGACAUUUAGAAAGAGGGGAGAUAUAUAACAUCUACAUGGGUUUCUAAUAUGACUAGGAUGUGUCUUUGGCUACUGGACAAUGAAAGAAAGUUGAUAUAAAAUAAUUGCCGCCACGGAUAUGGUUUGAUUUUGGCUAGGCUACUUUGAAGCACGGUAACACAUACCUCAAAAUAUGUAGUAAAAUGUUCAGGUUUCAAACAAUUAUACCGCCUCCAGCUCAUUGCAAAGUGGUGUUUGACGGGCUGAUGAAAACUGCCUUCCGUUGCCUAUGUAUUUGCUGUCGCAGAUUUCCAGCUCAACGGCUCUGUAUCUGUAUGCUGUAUACGUGUGAUAAAUAAGAUACAUAACAAAUAUACUGUACACACGUGCCAAUUUAAUUUCACUAAAUUAUGCAAAUUAACCAAUAGACUGAUAAGCAUGACCAUUCAAAUGUAUUUCAUUGACUGGUAUUUUCAUCAAUGAAUAGGCUCAAAAGCAUUAUUUCAUAAUGGAAUUUUUUCUUCACCUGGACAAUUGGACGGCGCCAAUUUUAAUUAUUGGUUUUUCUAUUUUUUUAUAGUCCAAAAGCCGGCUAUUACUGGCUAAUGGAAACCCUGGCCUGUGUGUGCCUGUGUGUGUAUGUGUGUGCAUGUGUGGGCGUGUGUGUCCAUGUAAUUGGAAUGGGGGAAGAAAUGCCACCAGCCUCAUCUGCUUCCUUUGCCAGGUGGUCAUUCACACACACACACACACAAACACACACACACACACAUACACACACUUUCAUGUUCCAUGUUUCUUUCGACCCAGUGAAAUUGUAUGGAGCUCAUUUUGCUGGCGUUGUAAAUCUUUCUGUGAGUAAUGUGAGAAGUUUGCUUUUGAAAAUGUGUUGUGUGAUAUUAGGAUGUAAUGGAUCCUCCUCUCAAUGCCCCUGCGGCAGUAUGAGCAUGACAUCUCUCAGGAGUAUUACAGCUGGGCUUUGUUUCAGUUCGGCUUGAGAGAGAGAGGGGUUGUAGAUGCACUGUACAUGCUGCUGUUACCAGACCUAUGUUCAAAUAAUAUUUGCAGUCUAAGGUUUAUUCUGUGCUAAGCGAUCACUACCAAGCUCAAGGAAACAAAGAAAUGUGUGCUCUUUUAGUUCAGCUUGACUGACAGACAUACAUGAACUGUACAGGCUGCAGUAAACAGGUUGGAAGUGAACGGCCAGAGAGGGUUAUUCUGCAUUCAGUUGAAGCACCACUCAGUCAUAAGCAAUCAGUAGUGCCAUGCUCAAGUAAACACAGGAAUGCACUCUCACUAGCUCCUUCAACUCAAGAAAAUAUGCUUUGGAUAAAAGUUUGCAGCAAUAACACCCCACUGGGCACACACUGGUUGACUCAACAUUGUUUCCACGUCAUUUCAAUGAAAUGACGCUGAUCCAACGUGGAAUAGACGUUGAAUUGACGUCUGUGACCAGUGGGACACUUCUUCUUGAACGGUCUUUAGCUUUAUAAUAGCUGUUCUAUUCGUUCAGACAGGUUGAGUUUCAACUGAAAAUGAAUGCUGUGUUCCUUUUAAACUCUUUCACCUCACAAACCGGAUUAGCAGUACAGCUGGUUAGAGAGAGUCACUAUUCAUGUUUUCAAACAAAUAAUGACUCCUCCAUAGUCAGCAACACAGUCUAACCCGAAUCCCCUUCCCCUUCCCCACCCCCAACUCUCUCUCUGUCUCUUCUUCCCUUUUGUUCUGGCGCCAGGUGAAGUAGGAGAGAGGGGGAAGGUCUGGCUCUACCUGUGUAGAAUAAAACUUGUCAACAAACCCUCCAAUUGGCCAAGGCCCCUACAACCCAUCCCCCAAAAUGCUGUCUGAAACUCAACACCUGUGACAUCAUACUAGGGCAUUGACUGUGGCUGGGCUGGUCUGUUCAGAGCUCAGUGGGUAUUCAGUUGAGAGUGUCUCAGGAGACAUCGAGCUCCAGUGACCCCAGCAAGACUCCCAGGAUUCAGUGUAAUCUCUACGGACGGUGGCCAGUUCACACAGCACAGCAAGGAGACCAGGCAGUUAGAGACCAGGCAGUUAGAGACCAGGCAGUUAGAGAAGCUCCAGCCAGAGGAGUUAGACUAGAGAGCAGUUCAUGUGAAGUGCUGCAACCUUCCUUCUUUCCCUGCUUCUUUGCCUCCACCUGUAGCGGCGAGCCCCAACCACCCGGGCUAUUUCGCACGCUCUCUCUCUCUCUCUCUCUCUGGGACUGCAGACUGAUUGAGGUUUUAUGCUAAAGGACUAAAGGAUUUUGAGUGGAAUCUUUUUGUAUUUUUUAGGAAUAACAGCAGCUUCGGCUUUAUAUCACGAGUUUUAAAGACUAUAAUUUUCCUGGUGAGUUUCUUUCACUGUGUAUUUUUCAGUUGGACCUUGAAAUGGGUGUCACUCUAUGAUUGCGUGAGCUGCUAUCCAUCGAGCGGAGCGGGAGUGUAGGUAGAGGAGCAGAGGAGAGGCGUGCCAACACCUGGACCAUGGCACUGAGCCACCGAUGGGCACAAUCUCCCCUCGCCAGGGGGACCACACUUAUCCUACUACUGGGCAGUCUGGCCCUGCCAUCACAAUCCCAUGCAGACAGCAUGCCCAAUUUCAUCAAAUCUCCAGACGACCAGACAGGUAUUUCGGGAGGAGUGGCGUCCUUCGUUUGCCAGGCGGUGGGCGAUCCCAAGCCACGCAUCACCUGGAUGAAGAAGGGCAAGAAAGUCAGCUCUCAGCGAUUUGAGGUGAUAGAGUUUGAUGAUGGUUCAGGGUCCGUCCUGCGUAUCCAGCCCCUGCGGACCCACAGGGACGAGGCCAUCUAUGAGUGUACCGCCACCAACAGUGUGGGAGAGAUCAACACCAGUGCCAAACUCACCGUCCUGGAAGGUAGGAAACACCUCGAUCACUCUCUCUGUCACUCCCUCUCAAUCAUUUUCUUUGUCUUUCUUUCUUCCACUCACAUACACGAUCUACACACACACACACACACAC